GAGAUAAAAGACACCAUAGUAAAGCAUGGAUAUGCACAUAUCCUAAAGACUGCUGAAGUUUAAAAAAUAUAUAUAUCCCCAAGAUGCCUCUGCCAUCUUAAUUCAUUAAGUAAUUUAACUUGUUUCUAAGGUAUCCUAGUGCUUCAUAACUUGAAACAAUCUGAUACCACUGAAAAUGUUACUUCUUCCAUUAAUUACUGCACUAAUUGCAUGAGAAGUGCUUGCUUUGUUUACCAGAAACAAUAGAUUUCAGAAUAUGUUGGAUAAAAGACUCUUGCUGACUGCUUCUGAAAUCAUGAUCACAAUAAAUAGGAUAAACUAGACCCUUUUUUUUAAAAAAAAAGAGGU
rnacentral:misc_RNA from 1 species